UACGUAGGCAGCAAGCGUUGUUCGGAAUUACUGGGCGUAAAGAGUGUGUAGGCGGUGCUCCAAGUCUUGCGUGAAAUCUCGGGGCUCAACCCCGAGCGGUCGUGAGAAACUGGCAGGCUAGAGUGCGGGAGAGGAGAGUGGAAUUCCUGGUGUAGCGGUGAAAUGCGCAGAUAUCAGGAAGAACACCCGUGGCGAAGGCGGCUCUCUGGAACGCAACUGACGCUGAGACGCGAAAGCGUGGGGAGCAAACAGG
rnacentral:rRNA from 1 species